UGGGGAAUAUUGCACAAUGGGCGAAAGCCUGAUGCAGCGACGCCGCGUGCGGGAUGAAGGCCUUCGGGUUGUAAACCGCUUUUAAUUGGGAGCAAGCGAGAGUGAGUGUACCUUUUGAAUAAGCACCGGCUAACUACGUGCCAGCAGCCGCGGUAAUACGUAGGGUGCAAGCGUUAUCCGGAAUUAUUGGGCGUAAAGAGCUCGUAGGCGGUUUGUCACGCCUGGUGUGAAAGUCCAUCGCUUAACGGUGGAUCUGCGCCGGGUACGGGCAGGCUAGAGUGCAGUAGGGGAGAUUGGAAUUCCCGGUGUAACGGUGGAAUGUGUAGAUAUCGGGAAGAACACCAAUGGCGAAGGCAGAUCUCUGGGCUGUUACUGACGCUGAGGAGCGAAAGCAUGGGGAGCGAACAGGAUUAGAUACCCUGGUAGUCCAUGCCGUAAACGGUGGAUGCUGGAUGU
rnacentral:rRNA from 1 species